CCGGUCCUGGGUCUCUGGGGACACCGUCUUAAAGGGGUAUUGUUCCAAUAAGUCUCAGAAGCCCAAAUACAGUCCUUAAAGGGCCAUACACAGUCCAAUAAAAGUCUAUAAGCCCAAAUGCUGGUUUUAAAGGGAAAAAUCUCCCAGGGGCCAUAGUCACAGGGCAGGAGGCUGGCAAGCAGGUCUCUCCAGGACCAAGUGGCAAAGGGCACUUCGUCACACUGACCUCACAGACUUACAAUGUCUAGUGCCUGAGUGACCCUUCCCAGUACUGUCCGAGCCAUGAUGUUUCGGCUGCUGAUUCCUAUUCCUGGCAGCCAGCCACAAGGAGUCAUCCUGUCACUCACAUCCAGCCACAGGUGGACCAUCCUGUUGCUCACAUCCGAACACAGGUGGGCCAUCCUGUCACUCACAGCUAGCCAUUCUGUCACUCAUGACCAGUCACAGGGUGCCGUCUGAU